rnacentral:rRNA from 1 species
AAAUUGAAGAGUUUGAUCAUGGCUCAGAUUGAACGCUGGCGGCAGGCCUAACACAUGCAAGUCGAGCGGAAACGAGUUAACCGAACCUUCGGGGGACGUUAACGGCGUCGAGCGGCGGACGGGUGAGUAAUGCCUAGGAAAUUGCCCUGAUGUGGGGGAUAACCAUUGGAAACGAUGGCUAAUACCGCAUGAUGCCUACGGGCCAAAGAGGGGGACCUUCGGGCCUCUCGCGUCAGGAUAUGCCUAGGUGGGAUUAGCUAGUUGGUGAGGUAAGGGCUCACCAAGGCGACGAUCCCUAGCUGGUCUGAGAGGAUGAUCAGCCACACUGGAACUGAGACACGGUCCAGACUCCUACGGGAGGCAGCAGUGGGGAAUAUUGCACAAUGGGCGCAAGCCUGAUGCAGCCAUGCCGCGUGUGUGAAGAAGGCCUUCGGGUUGUAAAGCACUUUCAGUCGUGAGGAAGGUAGUGUGUUUAAUAGAUGCAUUAUUUGACGUUAGCGACAGAAGAAGCACCGGCUAACUCCGUGCCAGCAGCCGCGGUAAUACGGAGGGUGCGAGCGUUAAUCGGAAUUACUGGGCGUAAAGCGCAUGCAGGUGGUUUGUUAAGUCAGAUGUGAAAGCCCGGGGCUCAACCUCGGAAUAGCAUUUGAAACUGGCAGACUAGAGUACUGUAGAGGGGGGUAGAAUUUCAGGUGUAGCGGUGAAAUGCGUAGAGAUCUGAAGGAAUACCGGUGGCGAAGGCGGCCCCCUGGACAGAUACUGACACUCAGAUGCGAAAGCGUGGGGAGCAAACAGGAUUAGAUACCCUGGUAGUCCACGCCGUAAACGAUGUCUACUUGGAGGUUGUGGCCUUGAGCCGUGGCUUUCGGAGCUAACGCGUUAAGUAGACCGCCUGGGGAGUACGGUCGCAAGAUUAAAACUCAAAUGAAUUGACGGGGGCCCGCACAAGCGGUGGAGCAUGUGGUUUAAUUCGAUGCAACGCGAAGAACCUUACCUACUCUUGACAUCCAGAGAACUUUUCAGAGAUGAAUUGGUGCCUUCGGGAACUCUGAGACAGGUGCUGCAUGGCUGUCGUCAGCUCGUGUUGUGAAAUGUUGGGUUAAGUCCCGCAACGAGCGCAACCCUUAUCCUUGUUUGCCAGCGAGUAAUGUCGGGAACUCCAGGGAGACUGCCGGUGAUAAACCGGAGGAAGGUGGGGACGACGUCAAGUCAUCAUGGCCCUUACGAGUAGGGCUACACACGUGCUACAAUGGCGCAUACAGAGGGCGGCCAACUUGCGAAAGUGAGCGAAUCCCAAAAAGUGCGUCGUAGUCCGGAUUGGAGUCUGCAACUCGACUCCAUGAAGUCGGAAUCGCUAGUAAUCGUGGAUCAGAAUGCCACGGUGAAUACGUUCCCGGGCCUUGUACACACCGCCCGUCACACCAUGGGAGUGGGCUGCAAAAGAAGUAGGUAGUUUAACCUUCGGGGGGACGCUUACCACUUUGUGGUUCAUGACUGGGGUGAAGUCGUAACAAGGUAGCGCUAGGGGAACCUGGCGCUGGAUCACCUCCUUAUACGAUGAU